rnacentral:RNase_P_RNA from 1 species
GGCAAGACAUCCAACUGACGGUUUGUCCGCAAGGAUUUAAGCUGAGGAAAGUCCGCCCACCACAGGAAAUCAAAUGAUUGUUACCAAUUACUUGAAACUGAAGCAAUACCACUCUAGUUUACUAGAGAUCCUGAAAAGGAUGGCAACAGCUCAGAAAAGACACGGCCUAUUAGUUUGUGAUGAUGUUUGCGAAUGGCUUAGUAAUAAGCUCAGAGCUAACCAACUGAAUUUGCUAAUAGGAUGCGAUGAAACUGCUAGUCCCGGAAUGGUGCAAGUCUUGUAUUAGACGCUUAGUUAAAUGUUGGAAAAGUUUGGCUUUAAGUUAAACUUACAGAAGGCGGCUUAUCUCUUGCC